rnacentral:rRNA from 1 species
GGAGGGUGCAAGUAUUAAUCGGAAUUAUUGGGCGUAAAGGGCGCGUAGGCGGAAUUGUAAGUCAGAUGUGAAAUACCGAGGCUCAACCUCGGUGCUGCAUUUGAAACUGCAAAUCUUGAGGAUUGACGGAGAAAACGGAAUUCCACGUGUAGCGGUGAAAUGCGUGGAUAUGUGGAAGAACACCUGUGGCGAAAGCGGUUUUCUAGUUGAUUCCUGACGCUGAGGCGCGAGAGCAAGGGGGGGAGCAAACAGGAUUAGAUACCCUGGUAGUCCUUGCCGUAAACGAUGUAUACUUGAUGUAGUUGGACUCAACCCCGACUGUGUCGAAGCUAACGCGAUAAGUAUACCGCCUGAGGAGUACGCUCGCAAGGGUG